ACUUUAUAACCUUAUAACCUUAACGGCCACUGUUUAACCAUAUAACUUAUAACCUUAACGACCACCGUUUAACCUUAAAACCUUAUAAGGUUAACGACCACCGUUUAACCUUAUAGCCUUAACGGCCAUCGUGUAACCCUAUAACCUUAACGGCCACCGUUUAACCCUAUAACCUUAACGGCCACCGUUUAACCUUAUAACCUUAACGGCCACCAUUUAACCUUGUAACCUUAUAAUUUUGAUAGCCACCGUUUAACCUUAUAAUCUUAUAAGGUUAACGACCGUCGUUUAACCUUAUAACCUUAACGGCCACCGUUUAACCUUAUUACCUUAACGGCCACCGUUUAACCUUAUAACCUUAAUGGCUACCGUUUAACCUUAUAACCUUAACGGCCACCGUUUAACCUUAUAACCUUAACGGCCACUAUUUGUUUUGACAGUACAUUAGUUUUCAAUUAGUUCUAUCUAAAUAGAGUAGAAUUAAUGCAAAAGAUUUAUAUAAUCAACCUGAGAUUUGGGAUUUAUGCUUCUGUUUAAUACAUCGGAUUGUUUAAUCCACUCGAAUCAGUAUAGAAUGGAGGAUCUCCAUUAAGAUUUGUGGUUAUCAAUCAGUUUAGUACGAAGGCGAGUUUAUUCAUUGAUUAGUGAAAUUUUAUGGUCUUAGUUCUAUCAAGAUUGGUGCUUUUGUCUAAUAUCUAGUACUAUGAUUAUAUUUCAGGCUUUCCACCACGUUACAGGGACUCUGUUAGGCAUAUCAUACCUGGAUUUCCUCUUUUCUUGUACAACUAAACUCAUUAGCUACCUCCACAAAUCCUGCUUCUAAUUUGUUUCGUUUUGAGACUUGAAUAAUCAUGAAUCAACAAGGGUGUUCGACAAAUCAUCAAAAAACUAAAAACUUUCUUUCAGCUGAAUCACUAGCAGCUCUAUGAAAGCAACAAAUAAUAGAACACAAGAAGAAGAAGAAGAAGAACAAAGGCUACAUAAAUUCAAAGGAAAGGAAUCAAAAGCAAAAGGAGAAGUCAAACAACGUUCCACCUAUAUCUCAAGUACCUGAACAAGUGCAACAGCACCAGUAGAAGAGCAAGUGCGACAAUAAUUUCUAAACUCCACCAUUCGUGCAUCACAACCCACAGUUGAACAAGUGCAGCAGGAUCAGUCACAACUUCCUAAUUUACAAGCAAAUGAACAAUCUAGAGCAG